GUGGGCGAUCUGCCCUGCAGUCUGGGACAAGCCCUGGAAACGGGGUCUAAUACCGGAUAGUACCUUCGGGCGCAUGCCUGGUGGUGGAAAGCUCUGGCGGUGCAGGAUGGGCCCGCGGCCUAUCAGCUUGUUGGUGGGGUGAUGGCCUACCAAGGCGACGACGGGUAGCCGGCCUGAGAGGGCGACCGGCCACACUGGGACUGAGACACGGCCCAGACUCCUACGGGAGGCAGCAGUGGGGAAUAUUGCACAAUGGGCGCAAGCCUGAUGCAGCGACGCCGCGUGAGGGAUGACGGCCUUCGGGUUGUAAACCUCUUUCAGCAGGGAAGAAGCGAGAGUGACGGUACCUGCAGAAGAAGCGCCGGCUAACUACGUGCCAGCAGCCGCGGUAAUACGUAGGGCGCAAGCGUUGUCCGGAAUUAUUGGGCGUAGAGAGCUCGUAGGCGGCUUGUCGCGUCGGAUGUGAAAGCCCGGGGCUUAACCCCGGGUCUGCAUUCGAUACGGACAGGCUGGAGUUCGGUAGGGGAGAUCGGAAUUCCUGGUGUAGCGGUGGAAUGCGCACAUAUCAGGAGGAACACCGGUGUCGAAUGCGGAUCUCUGGGCCGAUACUGACGCUAGGA
rnacentral:rRNA from 1 species